CAGCCGCCGCGGGAAUACGUAGGUGGCAAGCGUUGUUCGGAUUUACUGGGCGUAAGGCGCACGUAGGCGGACUUUUAAGUCAGGGGUGAAAUCCCGGGGCUCAACCCCGGAACUGCCUUUGAUACUGGGAGUCUUGAGUUCGAGAGAGGUGAGUGGAAUUGCGAGUGUAGAGGUGAAAUUCGUAGAUAUUCGCGGGAACACCAGUGGCGAAGGCGGCUCACUGGCUCGAUACUGACGCUGAGGUGCGAAAGCGUGGGGAGCAAACAGGAUUAGAUACCCCUGUAGUCCCUGUCUCUUAUAC
rnacentral:rRNA from 1 species